GGUUCCAGCUGGUAUGGGGGACCUUUAGACAUCUCGCUUUCGCUCUUGACUAUUUUCUCCCCCUCAGAUUUUCAUCUUGAGUGCAAGAGAUGAAGAGGCUUUACUGUAUUCGCUAAUGUAAGAGAAAAUUGGAUGGCUGCCAAUCUAAUUGGCCUGCUAGUGUCUGCGAGCCCAUUAGUGAGUGGUUGGAAAGGCUCUCAAUGGCCUUGACUGCAGCUUCACCUCAGUCUGGCUACAAGGUUUGUUUAUUUCAUUAGCUGUGAGUGAAUAAAUGCUUUCAAAGAGUCAUCAUAUUUUACAGAAGACAGCAGAGGUAAUCAUCAGGAAGUACACUUCACAUGUAUAAGUCAGGGUCUUAGUGCUAUUUUUCCCCAUAAAGCUGCUUGAGUUUCUAUUUUUUCCUCAUUACCAGCCAAAAACUCAAAUGAACACCUUCAUGAUCCUCUUAGGAAAUAUGACAUAUUAAAUACAAGCUUGGGAUUUUCUUUCCCACAGUCUCUAAUCCUGAGGUACUUUGUAAAUUAUGUUUCGUAAGUACCUGCACCAUUGAAUAUCACGGUGUCUGACCAAUCUGAGACUUAAACAAAAGGAAGUACAGGACACAAGAUAGUGCAAGAUAAAUGAAGCUGGUGUAAGCAUUUGUAUGUAGGGCUUUGAGCUGGAAGUUGGAUGGCAUGAAUGUGUUGCUGGGAAACCGGGUAGUAAACAAAAGCCUAAUAGAUGAAGGACAAAGUCACAAGGGAAAAUGUUGCAUGUCCCAGUCCUCAAAGGUCUUACUGUUGUGAAAAACAGCACAAGCAUGGCCAAGAGGUUCAGUCACAGAAGAAGCUGUGUUGUUGUCCAACAGACAAGCAGCAGCUUCAAAUUUCCUCCCCCUUUUACUUUAGGCUUUAUAUACUUGGACAGGGUGAGUUAUGGGGUGUUGGUUGGCCUCCCAGUUAAAGUGUGCAUCCUUGUCCUCGUUGCAGCCGACUCCUGCCCCAUGUCAUAAACCUCUACCCAAGUUUCCUGUCUCUCUUAAACUGCUCUAUCAAAUUAAAGGCAGAAAAGCCCUAACCCCAUAAAAGGGUGAGUCAUAAACGAGCCACACAGACCAUUUUUUAAAAUUAUUAUUUUUUAAUUCCAGGUGUUAAAUAUAUUAAUUUAUGCUGGAAUAACUAGCAUUUUGAAAUGGAGUCUAAUGGCAAUUCACUCACUAUUGGAGGCAGCCUCAAGUGGACACAUUUGGAACUGCAGUUUUUUUUUUCAUUGGGCUACACAGAUCAGUGGACUAAUUAAGUUAUUAGGGGCAUGUGUAACAAGCGCUAAUGUAUUACAAAACCAACAAAUGGUACUGAUAAAAAAAGACAAAGUAAUUUGCAACUGAUUUGAAAUUCAUAAUCUUCCUAUAUAACUUCUCAAAGUCAGUAUGGAUGCGUGUUAUGUCACCAUACCUUGUUGCAUAAGCUACGCUUUAUACUUUAAACUCGGAGAAGACCCCCUGUACUCCUCAGGCAUUGACUGAUUGAACAAGCUCUGUGAUACUUUUACCACCCUUCCACUCCUCACCGCUCACAGCACCCACAAGAUGAAUCUUGAGCGAGUGAUACAGAAUACCAAACACAUCGAAAAGGUCAGUCAAUAUCUAAUUGCUUUGUCAACUCGGUCUCUAUUCAUAUCUUAAAUAUUUAAUAUCCCGGUUAAAAAUUCAGAGGCAGGAUGGUGUCGUUUCAAAUCACUGGGUGGUAUCGCUGGAAGAUCUCAUUAAGCAUUUUUCAUAAUGAAUGACAUCUUUUCCUGUCAGUAACAGGCUGCUUAACAUGGGAGCUCACACCCUCAGGAGAGAUCACCUUGUCUCCCAAUGUGUGAAAUGUAAAACAAAGGAAAUGAGAAAAUGUUUUAUCUUAUCGGGAGGAUAAAAGAUAAGAGACCCCACAGCUGCUGUAGGCAUAGUAAUUCUGCCAUUGUCUGCCUCCAACAGAGAAAUGUGAUAAUGUUUUUAUUUGAUGAGAUUUGGUUUUUAAAAAGGUUCACCCCACUCUUCAUCACGCACACUAGACACAGAUUUUUGUCUUAAUAUCAGCGCUUUUCGGGGGGACUUUUUAUUCCUCUGUGCCCCAAAGAUUAUAAAUUUACUUCAUUCUUAGAGUAAGUUACCUUCUGCGUAGUGCUAUCAACUGGAAGACAAACACGGCACAUGUCCUGAUGUGACGCGCUGGCAGAGUCAGCCUGAACCAAGAGUGCAGAUAAAACAGCAUGCUCUGAGUCACGCGCUGAAGAGCAAAGUUUGCCGAGCUGGAUUAACACUCACAAGCUCCCGAACCAGGAGGCAAUUACUUGUGUUAACACUGAUAUCCACUGCAACGCCCCUUGACGACUGAUUUCUUUUUGUGUGUUUUAUGUGUAUGUGUGUGUGCGUGUGUGUUGAAGAAGAUAAAAAGCUUUCUGUCUUACAACAUGGUGUGUACAUCCCAUAGAGGCUUAAAUGCAAUAAAGCCAAACAAACAGUAAUGAGGCGCCACUUUGGAUGUGUGUGACUGUGUGAGAGAGGCUAAUUUAUGCCUCUUGAGCAGUCUAUGUCUUCAUUUUAAACCCCAGUGCAUUGGAAAUACAUUGCAUGAAAAGCUAUAAGACUCCUUUUGAUUAAAGUGGGGGUAAAGCCAAAGAAAAAAAGUACUCAAACGGACUUGAUUGAGUUUUAUAGCCUUUUCAUUCCAUACUUAUGCAUAAAAACGUUUGCCCGUUUCAUGUUGGGAUAAGAUGCAGCUGGAUUUAUGUUGCCACUUUGAUGCAUUACCAAUCUCUGUUUACAAAUUCAACAUAAAAAAUGUAGAACCAGUCUCGGUUUGGGUUUUAAGAUUGGAAGUGUUCUCGUUUCUGUUUGUGGUCCGUUUAUGCAAUCAGAAAAAUCCAUAUCUUUUCAUAUUUCUUGAUCAAGCCUGAGUGCAGCCUUUUUGUAAUCUAUUAUUAACAGCAAAACUAAGACUCAACAGAAAACAAAUGUACCAACGCUCCUCCAGGGAAUAGUGAAAAAAGGAAAAAAAAAGAGGUUUAUUUUGCAGACACAUCUGGAGGGGCUAAUUUCACAUAUGGUCCGAACACACGGUUGUUUCUUAAGUCGCUAAUUAGACCAUAAAAAAACAGAAGUCAUUAAUCGCUUACUGUCAGCAUACGUUAGAGUUAUAGUGUUGUAGAAGUGCACUGAAAGCAGCACCAUCAUGUUAGUUUGUGUCUGUGUUGUAGGAUUUUAUUUAUGGUUAUCAACUUUUCACUUGGAAGUUGAGCCUGAGAACUUACCAGACACAGAAAACUCUCUCUGAACUUUUCCCGAACAAACUUUCAGCAGUGAGAGUUCUUUUUCUGUUUCGCCUGUCCCAAACUUUCUGUGCUCACUGUUUGCCUCAUGUUGCUUCUUUUACUUCAGAGGAAGUCUGAAGUUUACUGCUGUGUUGGAAGGUCACCCCUGCUAGCACCAACACCACCUUUGUAAGUCGUUCUGGGCCUCAUGCUGGCAGAUUCACACCUUUAGACAACAAGGAAACGAACUCUCUGAAUCACAGUCAGGUCCAAAGUGUGUAGCUAGUUGAAAUAUACCCUUACAGUCUGCUCCAAGUAGAAGCACAUAGUUAAUCUUUGGUCUGUAUCAACGUCAUGAUCAAGGUUUAAAUAAAAGAUUGUACAUUCAUGAGGAUGGGCUCGUUGGACUGAUUGAGACUCUAAUAGUGUCUGAGAUCGAUUGCUUCUGUCUCGGCAAGGGAUUUUCCAAUGCACCAAAUCCCUUUGUGAUUAUUUUCCUCUUAUUUUUAAUCUUUGUGUUAUUCUAAUCAUUAUUCAUGCUUAAAGGGAUAUUCCCGCGUAAAAUUAAUUUAGGGUCAAACACACCAUAACACAGAGUUAGACACCCUGUCGAGAGAUGAAUGUUGCCGGCUGAUGAUCAUUACAUUAACAUUACGCGGUAGUUCUUCUACCUUAGCGUCUCGGUCUGAUUGCAUUUCCAAGAAGAAAUUAUCAUAAAUGUUCUUCCUUGAGCUGCGGCACCCCGCAGCAGUCCGUAAUGGACUGGCCCGAGGUCUUGCUACAAACAAGUGGCUGCUGGAGGAGAGUGGGUGAGUUGCGUUUAGUCUCUUUGCUAAAGAAAUCAGGCAAAGUUAAAACAAUGUUUGGUGGCUAGUACUAUGGCUGGGACCCUAUAUAUACUGUUGAUGAAGUUAGGCGCUGUUCUGAGCAUUAUUUUUGGCUAUAGAGUGGCGUUUUGGUUGAGGUUUGUUUAUGGCUCCUCAGACCACUGUGUAUUGCUAUCCUGCGGUCGUUACUAAAGUUGGUAUAACAGGAAAAGCAAGUGGUCGGCAACAUUAAUCUCUCGACGGGGUGUCUAACUCGGUGUGAUGGUGUGUUUGACCCUAAAUUAAUUUUAUGCCGGAAUAUCCCUUUAAAGUAACAAACUUACAUGUAAAGAAAGUCAAGCGUGUGAUAGGCCCAUUUUGAAUAAGUUAUGUUAUGCAGAGGUUAUUGGAGCUGGAGUGGCAGCAGAGUACCUACUGGAUUGGAAAGGUAACUCCUUAGUUGUGAUUUCUGGAUUUACAUUUUUCUGGAUUUGAAUAUUCUAGAUAUAUUUUGACGGGAAAGUUGUUCCAGUUUCUCAAAUGAACUCCAGCAACAAUCACGGCUAACAACAAGCAUCCCUGCAUUACCCUCUUGAACAUUUCCGGCCAUUGUACUUCGGCCUCUCAGCUGCACACACGCCCUCUUGAUUUAUGCUUGCAAGUCAGCAGGCCGACGUCAGGCUGAGUGGCAGGUGAUCACUGUGACUGACUUUGACAGGUUAUAUUGCUGACAAGGUCUGACAGAAACCUAGAGAGAGACAGAGAGCAGCGUGUACGUGUAUAUUAGAGCCAGAUACGACCUGAGAAUAAAUCAGGGGUGGAGGAAAACACUCUGAGAGAUGCAGAAAAACAGAAACAAGGUGCAUGAAGCAGAAGUUUGAGAGACAGAGAAGAAGUUGGAGAACAAAGGCAGUGAUAAAAGUGAGACAGGGAGAAUUGAGAGUGCAUUGUAAAGACUGUAAGGCUGAGGUGUGUGUGAGUGUGAGUGUGUGGUGAAUUCAAAGUCGUAUGCAGCGGUAGCAGCAGUAGAAGUACAGGAGCUUCUGUUUCAGGAGUGUGUCUCCUCAGAAGAGAAAGGAACAGGCCGUGUGUUGUCACGAUUGUAUAGUCAGUGUGGAGCUCACUGGCUCACAAAGCCAUUAAAUGUUACAAAGCCUCUUAAUCAGCCCACGUCUCCAGGGGACAAAACAUGCAACCUCGACCCGGAGCACUCGCAAAGCCAGGACACAGCAACACAAACACACAGAAAUAGACACAGACACUCACACAUACCCGAGCACCCACUCACUGCCUGAAAAGCUCAUUUUCAAUGUGAACCCAAAGAAAGGUCUCAGUUGUUGAAUCGAGUCUAGAGAACAGAAAGUUUGGAAGGACAAAGUUUUUUGUCACUUCUGUUCAGGGCUUCAAGGCCAAGUGCUUGACAUUUACUUUUUUAAAGAUUUUUCCUGAAUGAAUUAUUAAAAGUUCUUUGAGCAAAUACACUAAGCGCUGGCGUCACCAUGGGAUCAAAAUCCUUCAGUGAGGUUACAAGACUUUCAGGGAAAUGUUCGAUCUUUUGUGACAUCUCUCCCCUCUGUUUUCUCUUCUUCAUUUGAGAUAUCUGAGGUCCCAAAUACCUGAUUCCCAUGUCAACCAUUUCCUUUCACCAAACAAUAGGAGCCACAAGAGCUGUUCAAAAAGUUUGCUUACUCUCCAACUCGCCCCGCAUUUACAGGGUAUGGCUUUGAAUAUAAAGAAGAAAUAUCCAAGCUGUUUGUGAUUUUUACAGGUUUCAAAAGUUCCCUCUUCAGCUUUCUUUGUCACUUUUUAUUUAUCUCUAACUACCUCUAUGUUUUUUUCUACUCUAGCGUAUUUCUCUCCCUUUUGUUUGUGAAGUAUUAUACUUUUUACUAGUUUAAUUUCUAGUGUUAGAUGUUUUUUUUUUUGCUGGUUGACUUCUUUUACUCAUUCUCUUUAGUUUAUGUAGAAAUUGUAAAAGCAGAUUUACUUCCUCACAGUAGUUUCACACACUUAAAUAUACUUUAAAAAAGUCAUCUAUCUUGUUGCUUAAGGCCUUUUUUGUCUUUGAAUAUCAAGAAAAAGCAUCAAUAUCGAUCAAUAUGUUUCAAAAAAUUCCUCAGGGGAGCUUUAACUCUUAGAAAAAGAAGACAUCCACGGUAAAACUUACUUUGAUACUGACUCUGUUGUGUGCCAGACUUUAAAGUGAUCACAUCACACACUAUUAACUGUUGGGAUCUUUACUCCUGUGUCUCGGCGGAGGUGGGCCAUCAAGCGCUGUGAAUUCAGUGAUUUAGUCGUUAACUGCUCUCACUUUUGGUUGUCUAGUAAACUCUCUGCACUUCUCAAAUCCACACAAGGACACUUGCUGUUUUAUUGGUACUAAUGCUGGCUGUUAUUUCUUGUUUCUGCAAUUCAUCUGCAUUGAUGACUCUUCAGGUGACUUUAAGGAUACGUUGUAAAACUUGAGGACUUCUUUCCUCUUCUGAAUACAAGUGGGACAUGUUUUAUAAAUUGCAAUUGAGCCAUCCCCCUCUGAAACAGUGGGAAAAACAAAAACAAACCCAGGAGAUGUCAUAUUGACUUUCUUGUUAGGCUUUUGUUGGAAUAAUAAUGUUAAGUUAAUAAGUAAAAGGAAGCAUUUCUCAUAGGGAAAAUGGCAGCAUUGAAAAUAAAUGAUUAUCAGAUACUCCCAUCAUUGGCUAAUGAUUUAUCAGUGUAUUGCGCAUUAAGUGAAAAUAUAUAUGUAAAAUAUUUCAUAGUCCUUAAACAAAAUUUUGUUUUACAAACUCCAAUUCUAGUGAAGUUGGGAUUUUGUGUGAGAUAGGGUGACCAUAUUCUGACUUCCCAAAAAGAGGACACGACUACACUGGGGCGGAGUCACAGAGUCGCACGAAGUUAAUUUUGAGAGUUUUUUUGGGUCGGAUCAAGUUUUUUUAUGCACCUCUAACUCAGUAAGUCCAUGUUACACAAAUUUGAAACUCUUUUAAGGAUUUUAUAAACUUCCCCAGACAAGGCCUGACAAGCCUGAACAAAGAAAGAGGACAUGUCCGGGUUAAAGAGGACUUAAGAUCACCCUAUGUAAGAUGUGUAUAAGAAUCUUUCUUGUCUUAUAUUCAGUUGACAAAGACAAAAUAUUUAAUGUUCAAACUGAUAAACUUUAUUGUUUUUUGCAAAUAGUCCAACAGUUCAGCUUCUCUGGCUUCUCAUGGCUUGAGCUGAUUCAAAGUUGGACAGCGUGCUUUGGUCUGACGAGUCCUCAUUUCAAACUGUUUUUGGAAAUUAUGGAGGUGGUGUCCUCUGGGCUAAAGAGGAAAAGGACCAUCCAGAUUGCUAGCAGGUCAAAGUUCAGAAGCCAGCAUCUGUGAUGGUAUGGGGGUGUGUUAGCGCUCAUGGCUAACUGUCACAUCUGUGAAGGCUCCAUUAAUGCUGAAAGGUACACAAAGGUUUUGAAGCAGCAUAUGCUUCCAUCCAAGCCACGUCUUUUUCAGGGAUCCCUUCUUAUUUCAGGAAGAUAAUCUCAAGACACAUUCUGCACAUGUUUCAACAGCGUGUCUUUGUAGGAAAAGAGUACAGGUACUAGACUGGCCUGCCUGCAGUCCAGACCUGUCUCCCAUUAAUAAUGUGUGGCCCAUUAUGAUGCACAAACUACAACGACGGAGACCCUGGACUGUUGAGCAACUCAAGUGGUAUAUCAGGCAAGAAUGCUUGCUCCAAAUGCUUAUUGAGUCGUAUUCAAAGUUAUUUAGAGGUAAAUAUGACCCUGUCCCAGCUUUUUUUAGACCGUCUUACAGACAUCAAAUUCAAAAUGAGGGAGUAUUUGGAAAAACCAAUAGAAUGGAUCAGUCCGAAGAUUAAAUAUCAUGUCUGUUUUUACAUACAUGUUUCUUGUAGACCUGGGUGAAACAGUACUCAGCCUUGUACUUGUGCAGGGAAUUCCACGCAGCCUCACAUAGAAAACUCUGAACCAUCUGUGUACAUAUUUACUUUGUCUUGAUAUGAUUCAUGCUCUUUAUUAGUUAUACACUCAUACAGCCUGGCAGUGAGUCCCACCACUUAACAGCAAGGACAUGCAAUAAAUAUUUGAGCAUCAACUCCAGACAUAUGAAUGAAUAUAAACAGUAAAAAAAAAAAAAAGAAGAAAAACAGAAUAUAUCAAAAUGGAAAGAUUUGUUUGUUUUACAAUCCAGGCCUUGAUUGUGUAAGUCUGAAAAACCUUCAGAGCCUUUUUUCCGCCUUUUGCAUAUAGCCUUGGGUUUAUUCCUGCAGUGAAACCAAAAGAAGUAAUAAAGCAGACAUUUUCAAAGUUCUACAAACUAUUUCUUCUGACAGCUUCAUCUCAAGUACAUUCAGUUGAGCAACAAACUGGAGAGUACACUUAGAGAGUCCACUCGCCUCUGCCUCAGGGCCAGAGGAAUCAUUAUUAUUUCAUAAUGGACAAAGUAAUCCAACAAAAGACUCAAUGUAUGAAAGGAGUGGUCCCCCAAAACACUGAAAAUCCAUGCCGCCCCCUAAUACCAAAGCUCAUCUCCAUUCACCUCUUUUCUCUUCUGAUGUUCUCUGUGCCGUAUUGAUCGCUCACUGUCAGAAAUCUUCCUGAUUCUCCUCCUGUCUGUAUUCAUGAUGAAGCUUUAAAAUCUUUCCACAAUACUGACACUCUGGAUGCUCACAAGGAGAAAUAGUGGCCGUGCCUCAGCUUUAAAUCCACCAAGAAGCUACUUAUUGCUGCUAUUUCUUUGGAGGCCACGUCUGAACAUAAAACCACCAAAAUAAUUUGAAGUAGUGAAGUUUUCAAAGGAGGAUGAGAGAGUCGCACCUUUUUUUUUUUCAGCUCGAAACAGCCCUCAUGCCUGACACAUGUGAAACCCAGAGCGUGUUUCCCAUUCUGGUCCCAUUAUUUCCUAAUGAUGAAUCUCCGCUAAUGGUUACUCUCUCCUGUGCUGCUCUGUGGUGCUCACAAUAGGCUUCUUGUUAAUUGGCCUUUUGACAGCGAUGCCCACCCACCAGUGGCCAACUGGGGUUUGAUAAAUGAGGUGCUCGCUUUACUCGCUCUCCCUCCAUGCUUCAUAUUUUGAGUGUUGAGUGAAGUGGGUGUUUGUUUUCCAUCACACUUUGUGGGGGGAGAAUAACGCUUUGAUGCACAUGGCUACUCGUAAGAACCACAAGAUGGUGUAGUGUGAAUUUCAGCUUGCUCAAUAGAAAAUCCACCUUAAAAUGAUUGAAGACAAGUCCCACUCAAAUCGUUUUUUUUACUACUCAAAGUGUUCUCAGUGGUCUUUAAAUUGUGAUUAUUAAGUUUUUACCAAAAAUCACGUUACCUGUGUCAUUUUCAAGGCUUUUCUUCAGUAGAACUCCAGUAGAUCAUUAGCAAUUCCCCUCUGAGUUGUGGGCAGAGACAGCACUGCUCUGCACACUCGUCUUCAUGUUAGCUUGCAACCUAACAUUGCCUGUGCAGCAGAAGUGGCAGGUAACAUAGGAGCUAUUCAGCUCUCGGACCAUAAUGUCUCUAGGGAACACAAUGAAAGUUACUAUCAUGAUUAGCUUUAUUACAAGCAUUGCAAUCCGCUAACGCACAAGCAUGUUCUGCGAUCGUCCUCUGUAUUGCUCCUCUAUAUGCAUAGCCUGGCCUGCAUAGCAGGGCUGCGGGUUGGAGCUUGGAUUAGUUAUGUAUGAAAUCUCACUGUUUCUGAAUUUGCUGCUAGGGUCUGCCAGAGAUUCACAGCGAUUAGAAUGAAGAAAUACUCAGAAAAGCAAUUUUGCAUUUAGUUUUCUCAUGAUAUGUCCUGUAGUAUCAGAAAAAUUUCAUAUGAACAUGUAAAAAACAAGAAAAACAGGUUUUUCAUCAGACUGGGUCGUCAACUAGUUUGACUUGUAAUCCUUGGGCCUGUUUUCAUCUUGCGUGAUUCGUGUACAAAGUACAUCCUUAGUUUUGUAGCACCAAUUUUAAACCAUCUAAACCAUUAGUUGAACCUUUUGUGCCUUUUUCCAAGGCUUGACAUUAUGCACUCGAACCAAGGCAAGGCCAUCUCAGAAAAAAUGCAGGAAGGUGAACUUCUUCUGCAACAAUAAGCCAGAAUUUGAUGCAGCCUCUAACUUUGUUUCCACCCACAGUGAGCCAUAACUUUCUCGCCUGCUCUGUGGAGUACUGAAUUCUGAGAAAAUAGGAAACCAAUACAGAAAAUCACAAACAAACUGUAUUACCAACCAGCUUCAACUCUUAACAAUGGGUUGAAUAGUUUGAAAGGAUUUUCUUCACUUUUCUUUUCAGGCUGUCCUUGGCUGUUGACAAAGGAUAGGAAUCAGAGAUGUCAUCUACUUCACUGCACCAAACAGGAUUAGGCAAUCUUUGAAUCCAAAUGCAUUUGUGGGGCUGUUUGUUCCUGAUAGCAGUGCUGGCAUUCUCUGUGCUGAUGAAGCAACUAGGGUUCGUUAUGGAAACUAUUGAUCUAAGAUACUUUAAACUGAACUCCAAA